rnacentral:lncRNA from 1 species
GACACUGUGUACAGUUGGUUGAGUUAUUGUACUAUUCUGAGGUCAGUUAUAAUUUUCCUUAUUUGGACGCUCCAUAGUUGAGGUAAAACUUUUAAAAUGGUAUGACAUGAGUCAUAUAAGUUUUGUCAAAUGACACUUUGCAUUAGAACUUUUACACGCUUAUCUUAACUCAUCCUUUACCAAAGGUGUUCCUAUGACUUUUGGUCAUAGAAGGUCUGAAGAAGUUCCCAGGACCAAGCGUAUUUGGGAAAGCCUCAUCUUCCUCAGGAAGCUUAAUAAAACAUAAGGUACAGAAAAUCUCAAUUUUAUUUGACUCAGUUUUUUCUGAAUUUUUUUAACCUCAGAACCCUUCCUCUUAGCAAAACUGAUGUUCUACGCCAGUCCAACCUGGUUGUCAGACAGUUGUUUUGCACUUCACAUUAGAUAAUCUUUUUUUUUAAUCCAUAGAAUUUUAUUUAGCCUCUUUUCAAAUUUUCUUAUACUAAUGAGGAGAACAUAAAUCUAGAAAUAAGAUUUGCAAAAUCAUCACUUUCCUGUAAAAUUCCCAGAUUAACAUUAUUUCAAACACUGGUGUCAUUUUGGCCUUCAGGACAAUUACAUAUUUUUCUAGUGCUUGGUUUUCUAAUCUGUACACAUUAGGAAAUCUUAUAUAAACAUUAGCCAUAGAGAAUACAUUACCAGGAUUUUUCUGCUAAAAUGCAAUUCAUAUUUUUAAUGCUUUUAAAAUAAUGUAAACAGAAUCUAUUACUAAGGUAAAAAUUAAAUCAUUUUAUAACGAACAUGAAUGUGAAUGUGGUGUGGUAGUUUGUACUAAUUAACUCAUGCCCCAGUUUUCUUAUGAUGAUGGAAAUUAUUAAAUCAUGUACACUCUUAAUGUCUAAGUGCUUUUAUUUAUACAAUAAACAUGUUUCCAUGUCA